rnacentral:rRNA from 1 species
GGAUGAACGAAGUAAAGACUGUCUAUAUUUAAUUAUCUAAAAAUUAAUACUUGAAUGAAGAAGUUCAAAUAACGCCGAAGGACAAGAAGACCCUAUAGAGCUUUAAUUAUUAAUUAGGGCCCCUAAUAAAAAUUUUGGUUGGGGCGACCUGGGAAUAAUUAAUCAUCCCAAAGCAAUAGAUUCAUACAUCAAAAUAAAGAUCCUUUAAAGAUCACAAGACAAAGCUACCUUAGGGAUAACAGGCUAAUUUAUCUUUAGAGCUCUUAUCAAAAG